UACGUAUGGUGCAAGCGUUAUCCGGAUUUACUGGGUGUAAAGGGGGCGCAGACGGCGAUGCAAGCCAGGAGUGAAAGCCCGGGGCCCAACCCCGGGACUGCUCUUGGAACUGCGUGGCUGGAGUGCAGGAGGGGCAGGCGGAAUUCCUGGUGUAGCGGUGAAAUGCGUAGAUAUCAGGAGGAACACCGGUGGCGAAGGCGGCCUGCUGGACUGCAACUGACGUUGAGGCCCGAAAGCGUGGGGAGCAAACAGG
rnacentral:rRNA from 1 species